CUGACACAAACAUUGCAAGCCUUGACAAAGUCUUCCACAUCCCUACGUAAACCGGGCCACCAGAAGUCUUUGGAGAUCAGGCAGUAAGUUUUGUGGAUGCCGGGGUGACCAGCGAACUUGCUAUCGUGGAAACAGCGAAUAAUGUCCACUUGGAAUUUGGGGGACACGAACAAGCGGCCCACAGGAGUACGUUCGGGAGCAAGAGAUUGUUCGUUCAUAAUAGCAGCGAGCAAUGGAGAGUGUAUUUUGACAUUGGUGUUGGCGAUAAUAUUGACUCCAGGAAUAAUAGGGAACAAAGUAUCCUCUGUAGUGGUGGUAGGUUCGUGCUGACGUGACAAAGCGUCUGCCUUAGUGUUCUUAGAACCAGGCCUGUAAGUAAGCACAUAAUUAAAGUGUGUAAGGAACAUAGACCAACGUGCCUGCCUGGCAGAUAAUCUUUUGGCCUCCCCCAUAUACGAUAAAUUUUUGUGGUCAGUCAAGAUAGUAACUGGGAGGAUGGUGCCCUCUAACAAAUGUCUCCAUUCCUUUAAUGCCAUAAUGAUAGCUAGAAGUUCUCUAUCACCAAUGUCAUAUCUCCUUUCAGUGUGUGAUAGUUUCUUGGAAAAAAAAACGCAAGGGUGCAGCGGCUUAUCUAAACUUUGUCUUUGGGACAACACUGCGCCUAUCCCUGUUUCAGACGCAUCAACUUCAAGUAAAAAGGGUAGAGAGGUAUCAGGAUGAACUAAUACAGGUGCUGAGGCAAAAGACUGUUUGAGCGAUUCGAAAGCAGAUAAAGCCUCAGUAGACCAGGUUUUGGUAUCGGCUCCUUGUUUGGUCAUAUUAGUGAUAGGAGCGAUAACAGAGGAGUACCCUUUAAUAAAACGUCUGUAAUAAUUAGAAAAUCCAAGAAAUCUUUGUAUGGCUUUGAGUCCCUUAGGUAAAGGCCAAUCUAAAAUCGAUUUUAGUUUGGUCGGGUCCAUCAUAAACCCGUCUUUGGAAAUUACGUAACCUAAGAAAGUUACCUGAGAC